rnacentral:rRNA from 1 species
GACGAACGCUGGCGGCGUGCUUAACACAUGCAAGUCGAACGGAAAGGCCCCCUUGUGGGGUACUCGAGUGGCGAACGGGUGAGUAACACGUGAGUAACCUACCCUUGACUUUGGGAUAACUUCAGGAAACUGGGGCUAAUACCGGAUAGGAGCUCCUGCUGCAUGGUGGGGGUUGGAAAGUUUCGGCGGUUGGGGAUGGACUCGCGGCUUAUCAGCUUGUUGGUGGGGUAGUGGCUCACCAAGGCUUUGACGGGUAGCCGGCCUGAGAGGGUGACCGGCCACAUUGGGACUGAGAUACGGCCCAGACUCCUACGGGAGGCAGGAGUGGGGAAUAUUGCACAAUGGGCGGAAGCCUGAUGCAGCAACGCCGCGUGCGGGAUGACGGCCUUCGGGUUGUAAACCGCUUUCGCCUGUGACGAAGCGUGAGUGACGGUAAUGGGUAAAGAAGCACCGGCUAACUACGU